CAGGGCUCCAGUUCUCUGCAGCUUCCACAUGAGACUUGUAUACAUGAACUUUCCUAGGCUUGUGUAAACUGUUCAGACCAAACCGCCUCUGGUCACCUGGCCCUUAAACAGAGGAGCAUUGCAGAAAAAGGGGACUCCACACGGAAGGACAAGCAGUGAUUUGAGGCCUUCCAGGACCGUCGUGCUGCAGCAUUGUAUGGGCCACAUUUCUGUUGCUGAGACAGAAUGCCUUGACAGAAAGGAACUUAGGAAGAUUUGCGCUCCAAGUUCUCUGAUAGAGGUACAAUCUGCCACCAGUUUUCUUCCAGACUACAGCACUCUAUGAAGCAAGAGGAAACAUACUUUUAAUAAAAUCCUG
rnacentral:lncRNA from 1 species